CGUAGGGUGCGAGCGUUAAUCGGAAUUACUGGGCGUAAAGCGUGCGCAGGCGGUUUUGUAAGACAGAUGUGAAAUCCCCGGGCUCAACCUGGGACCUGCAUUUGUGACUGCAAGGCUAGAGUACGGUAGAGGGGGAUGGAAUUCCGCGUGUAGCAGUGAAAUGCGUAGAUAUGCGGAGGAACACCGAUGGCGAGGGCAAUCCCCUGGACCUGUACUGACGCUCAUGCACGAAAGCGUGGGGAGCAAACAGGAUUAGAUACCCUGGUAGUCCACGCCCUAAACGAUGUCAACUGGUUGUUGGGUCUUUACUGACUCAGUAACGAAGCUAACGCGUGAAGUUGACCGCCUGGGGAGUACGGCCGCAAGGUUG
rnacentral:rRNA from 1 species